AAGUCCGCCGCCGCGGAGACUCGCCGGGGAAGUAGCGGCGACAAGCCGCGCCACCCUCGGCUCUCCCUUCACUCUCUCGAGUUCCGCUCCCAUCACUCGCCCUCUAUCUCACCGAACCCAGAACUCCCUCCGACGACUGCACUAGACCAGUCGCCGCCGCCUGAACUCCCUCCUUCCUCACUUAAAUCGGCCGACAGCAGCAGAAGAAGCGGACUGUCGCCGCACCCUCCACCUCCCUUUCGAUCUCCGGCGAACGCGCCUUCGCGUCGCCUCCAGUCGAUGAAGGACGCCGCCUUCACCGGCUCCCUCACAACCCUGUCGUCGCCUCACUUCGAAGUCCGACGGCCGCAACAGUUAGCCGAGCUAACCACCGCCACCCCCUUAGCUCCUGCCUCCCUCUCUCUCUUCGUCCUCGGCCCGACAGCAGCGGGCAGAGCCGCCGUGCCGCGGCCUCCCUCUGUCUCGCAUAUCUCUCACGAUCCAGCCCAACACACACACAACACCAGUUCAAAAGCAGAUACAAGAAUUCAAGACUCUACCUUUCUUUUCCUUUCAUUGUUAAAACAAAUCAUGUUUCAUAUACGUAUAUAUAUACAAAUUUAUACUCAAGCAUCUUCAGUUUGUUUCUUCUAAAAAGCAAAUACAUGAGUUUGUUCACUGAGCUAUGCAUACAUAUAAUACAUAUAUAUAUAUAUGAAUGGUGGAACAGAUGUGCGUGUUGGGUUUCUAGUUUGAGUUUGAUUUCAAACAAAUGCUUGGGGAAAUUGAGUUAGAGGUAAUAACCUUUAGAAAUAAUUCUGUUGUGUUGUUGAUUUGUGAUGGCUAGAAUCAAUUUGUUGCUGCAGUUCGAAAGGUAUGGUGUUGAAUCUGCUGCUGCACUUUGUUAUGUGAAAUGUGAGGAGAUUGAGUGUGGAUUUGAAAAGGCUGUGAUUGGGUGAAUAAGGGGGCAGCUGUGAUUGGAUAAAUAGGGUGGCAUGAUGAAUAGGGGUGGCAGCUCUCAAAAAUAAAAUAAAAAUAAAAAUAAAUAAAUGAAUAAAAUAUUUAAAACUCAUCACACUAUUAAUAGUUAAAAUCUAACACAUACUUGAAUUUAAAUCAUAUACAAAUAAAUACUAAUUAUAUAGAAUAAUCACAUACUUAU
rnacentral:lncRNA from 1 species